GGAGGCAGGGAGGGACCAAGGGCUGAAAAACUACCAAUCAGGUAUUAUGCUCACUACCUGGAUUUUACUCUAGCACAGCCUCUCCUGAGGGGAAGCGCAGAUUCACCUGGAGGGAGUGUGGAUACAGAGGGUCUGAAGAGCCCAGCCACAGAUGCAAGUGGCCAUGGCUGCUGCCCUGGUGUCUGGCCACCUGCCCACCUCCAGUGCAAUGGAUUCCACUUUGGGUCAUCCCUACCCACCUCACAGAUCGAGAGACUUGAGUCUCAAAUUUGGAGUGACUCGCUGACAGUCACGCAGAGAAUGCACAGCUGAGUUGAGAUUUGCGCACAGUCUAUGGAUUCCAGAGUCUGUCCCCUCUGCAACCGCAGAAUGACCCAGUGGCGUCCACAGAGCUGUUGUUCCUUGGGUGUGAGCUAUCGCCCCUGGGACAAGGUUAGCCACUUCCUGUGCGUGACCAUCAGCUACGCCCCGUUCCCCGAGGGCACUGGGCAGAACCUCAGAUCUUCAUCUUGGCUCCAGGUAACAGAGCCCCAGGCUGUGAACGAGGGGGCUGUGAGGACGUGUUGGUGCCAGUGGGGUCGGCAUUACCACGCCUCACCCCGCAUCAGCUGCCACACUGGUGCCAUGGCGCGGCUUUUGGUGGCUGUGUGACUGCCGCUGUGCACUGCCCUGCCCCGUGUUUCUCCAGGAGCCCAGGGCUAAGCCCUGCCAGGCCCCACCUCACCCCGACUCCAGGUUUCUCUCACAUCCCACUGAGAGCUGCCACUCCUUAGUGAGACCUGGAACUGUGGUGGGCUAGUUGUGUGUGAGGAGGGAAGAGCAAGGCAGGUCCUGUCCCAGACCGGUGGAGUUCACCAUCUUGUGGAAGGCCAGGCCGUGGACAAGCCAUGCAGGUGACACAUUCCUCUCAGUGCACGGAGGCCAUGUAACCCAGCUUCAGACUGAAGGCCAGACGUCAGAUUCCAUGUCAGCAGGACCCCACUCCAGUCAGAUCCUAUGUCAGCAGGACCCCACUCCAGGCAGAUUCCACGUCAGCAGGACCCCACUCCAGGCAGAUUCCACGUCAGCAGGACCCCACUCCAGGCAGAUUCCACGUCAGCAGGACCCCACUCCAGGCAGAUUCCACGUCAGCAGGACCCCACUCCAGUCAGAUCCUAUGUCAGCAGGACCCCACUCCCAGCAGAUUCCACGUCAGCAGGACCCCACUCCAGGCAGAUUCCACGUCAGCAGGACCCCACUCCAGGCAGAUUCCACGUCAGCAGGACCCCACUCCAGGCAGAUUCCACGUCAGCAGGACCCCACUCCAGGC